AUUGAACGCUGGCGGCAGGCCUAACACAUGCAAGUCGAACGGUAACAGGAAGAAGCUUGCUUCUUUGCUGACGAGUGGCGGACGGGUGAGUAAUGUCUGGGAAACUGCCUGAUGGAGGGGGAUAACUACUGGAAACGGUAGCUAAUACCGCAUAACGUCGCAAGACCAAAAAGGGGGACCUUCGGGCCUCUUGCCAUCGGAUGUGCCCAGAUGGGAUUAGCUAGUAGGUGGGGUAACGGCACACCUAGGCGACGAUCCCUAGCUGGUCUGAGAGGAUGACCAGCCACACUGGAACUGAGACACGGUCCAGACUCCUACGGGAGGCAGCAGUGGGGAAUAUUGCACAAUGGGCGCAAGCCUGAUGCAGCCAUGCCGCGUGUAUGAAGAAGGCCUUCGGGUUGUAAAGUACUUUCAGCGGGGAGGAAGGGAGUAAAGUUAAUACCUUUGCUCAUUGACGUUACCCGCAGAAGAAGCACCGGCUAACUCCGUG
rnacentral:rRNA from 1 species